GACCGCACGGGAAGAUGUAUUUUCCGGUGCGGUCGUCUUAACCCAACCGCGCAGGAUAAUCAUUUUCCCGUGCGGUC
rnacentral:pre_miRNA from 11 species